AUUACGGGGUGCAGCAGGCGCGAAAACUGCACAAUGUGGGAAACCACGAUGCGGGAAACCCAAGUGCCAGCACUAUGUGUUGGCUGUCCUCCAGUGUUCGUAACUGGGGAAGAAAGUGCUGGGUAAGACGGGUGCCAGCCGCCGCGGUAAUACCCGCAGCACAAGUGGUGGUCAUUAUUAUUGGGCCUAAAGCGUCCGUAGCAUGUUUGUUAAAUGCCUGGGUAAAUCGAUGCGCUUAACGCAUCGAAUUCCGGGUAGACUGGCAAACUCGAGACCGGGAGAGGUGUAGGGUACUCGGGGGGUAGGGGUAAAAUCCUGUAAUCCUCCGGGGACGACCAGUGGCGAAGGCGCUACACUAGAACGGCUCUGACUGUGAGGGACGAAGCCCUGGGGCGCAAACCGGAUUAGAUACCCGGGUAGUCCAGGGUGUAAACGCUGUCAGCUAGGUGUUGCAGCGACUUGAGCCGUUGCAGUAUCGGAGCGAAGGUAUUAAGCUGACCGCCUGGGAAGUACGGUCGCAAGACUGAAACUUUAAGGAAUUGGCGGGGGAGCACAAUCACUAGUGAAUUC
rnacentral:rRNA from 1 species